rnacentral:rRNA from 1 species
UACAGAGGGGGCAAGCGUUGUUCGGAAUUACUGGGCGUAAAGGGCGCGUAGGCGGCCCGCUAAGUCGAACGUGAAAUCCCCGAGCUCAACUCGGGAACUGCGUCCGAUACUGGCGGGCUUGAAUCCGGGAGAGGGAUGCGGAAUUCCAGGUGUAGCGGUGAAAUGCGUAGAUAUCUGGAGGAACACCGGUGGCGAAGGCGGCAUCCUGGACCGGUAUUGACGCUGAGGCGCGAAAGCUAGGGCAGCAAACGGG